AACGGCCGUACCAUGCUGAAUAUACCGGCUCUCGUUAGAUCACCGAAGUCAAGCAUCAUUGGGCGCGGUCAGUACUUGGGUGGGUGACCACCUGGGAACACUGCGUGCCGUU
rnacentral:rRNA from 1 species